GACGGAGGAUGCAAGUGUUACCCGGAAUCACUGGGCGUAAAGCGUCUGUAGGUGGUUUAAUAAGUCAACUGUUAAAUCUUGAGGCUCAACCUCAAAAUCGCAGUCGAAACUAUUAGGCUAGAGUAUAGUAGGGGUAAAGGGAAUUUCCAGUGGAGCGGUGAAAUGCGUAGAGAUUGGAAAGAACACCGAUGGCGAAGGCACUUUACUGGGCUAUUACUAACACUCAGAGACGAAAGCUAGGGUAGCAAAUGGG
rnacentral:rRNA from 1 species